UACAGAGGUCUCAAGCGUUGUUCGGAUUCAUUGGGCGUAAAGGGUGCGUAGGCGGCGCGGUAAGUCGGGUGUGAAAUCUCGGAGCUUAACUCCGAAACUGCAUUCGAUACUGCCGUGCUUGAGGACUGGAGAGGAGACUGGAAUUUACGGUGUAGCGGUGAAAUGCGUAGAUAUCGUAAGGAAGACCAGUGGCGAAGGCGGCGCUCUGGACCGAGACUGACGCUGAGGCGCGAAAGCGUGGGGAGCAAACAGG
rnacentral:rRNA from 1 species